ensembl:lncRNA
UAUGUAUACAUAUACUGUAUUAACAUAUACUUUAACAUAUUUAACAUGUAUGGGACUACCUGCCAUCUAGGGGAGAGGGUGGAGGGAAGAAGGGGAAAAGUUGGAACAAAAGUUUUUGCAAGGGUCAAUGUUGAAAAAUUACCCAUGCAUAUGUUUUGCCAAUAAAAAACUAUUUAAAAAAUACACAGGGAAAAAGUAGCUUAGUCUGUCUGGAGCUGGGAUGUAUAAUGAAUGAAUGUAUAUAACAGGAAAUAAGAUUGAAAUGCAAAGUUAGAACAAAAAUAUUAAAUGUAAAGGGCUGAAACUCUGAGCAGAUGCACUUGGACAACUGAACAUAUAAGGCCAAUUACUUAUUGGACAAUACUCUAUUAGCAUAUACUUGGAAAAUGGCCUGACCCACCAUUCUGUACUCAGUCUGUUAGUGUAUAUAGAGAAUUGUAAGAGGGAUUAGAGGAUGGAGUAAGACAAGCCAGAAUUACUUUUUAGGUGGGAGAUGAAGAGGAGAAGUCGUAGAGAUUCCUGUAUUCAUUUCACUCAAGUUGACCCCUAAAGACCAAGAAUAAAGACCAAGGACUUUUGCUUAUCCUGACUCCGGCUGAUUCUAAGGAAAUUCUUUAGAGAUGGUUUCAAGAUUUAGAACUGCCUUACUUGGAUUCUAGACAUGCCUUGGCACUGUUACUGAAACUGGUCAACUUAUGCUAUGGAAUAAAUGGAAUUUACCUAUUUUAUUGAAUGUCCAUCUUCUUCCCUGGAAGUCAGUUUGUCUGGGUAAGUUAUUCUUGGCUGCAUGACAAGUUCUUUUGCUAUUCAGAGUAUAAGAUUCCAGGUCCUUUGAUACUUCAAUGUGGAUUCUGCUAGAUACUGAGUGAUACGUAUUGUGGCUCCUUGGUAUUUGAUUUGCUUUGUUUUGGUGUAGUAUUGUUUGUAGUAGUAUUUUUUCCUUGCUCUGAUAGCGACAAUAUUUCUUGGAGUUUUGAUUUUGGGAUCUCAGUAGGUGAUCAAUGAAUUCAUUCAAUGUCUAUUUUACCUUCUGUUUCUAUAGUAUUUGGACUGUUCUCUUUCAUGAUUUCCUGAAAAAUAGUGUUUAGGUGGUUUUUUUCAUCAUGAUUUUAAAAGAUACCACUUCACCCAAUCUUAACACCACUUCUUUAUUUUACAUAACAGAAUGAAAGUUCAGAGAAAUCAAGAGUUCUCAUCACAUCAAAAGAAAGCAUAGAUGGAACAAGGGUUGAGACAAAUCCCCAUUAAGAUUCUUUGGAACGUAUUGGGUUAGAAUGCUGAAUAAAUCUUUUUCAAAAGCCCAACAGCCACUUCUCAUUGCAAUGAGAGUUUAAUGUACUUAUUAUAGAUAGCAUUGCUACAACUACACAAUAUAAUGCAUAAAGCCAUCACCCCAAUAGCAAAAUCUGUAUUAACAAUGAUCACAGCCUAGUGCAUGGAAAAAAAAAUCAUGAGAGUAUAAAAAUGGGAAUUUGGCAAUUAUUAAGAUUAACAAUACUGAAUGAUGAGAAAUAAGAUCUACAGAAGAAAGAUGGAGUAAACACAGAAGUAGAAUAUGACAAUUAGAUCAAUAGAUAUUGAUAGUUUUUUUAUAAGAUCCUUUAUUUGCCUAUUUUUUCUAUAAAGCUUUUUAUUUUUAUUUUCAAAACUUAUGCACAGAUAAUUUGGCAACAUUGAUCCUUUCAUAGCCUUGUGUUUCAGAUUUUCUCAUCCUUUCCCUUCUCCCUCCCCUAGAUGGCAAGCAGUUAAAUAUAUGUUGAAUGUUAAAAUAUAUGUCAAAUCCAAUAUUUAUAAACAUAUUUAUACAAUUGUCUUGCUGCACAAGAGAAAUCAGAUCAAAAAAGAGAGGAAAUUAGUAACAAAACAAAAUGCAAGUGAACAACAACAAAAAGAGUGAGCAUCUUAUAUUUUGAUCCCCAUUGAGUUUCUACAGGCUUCUCUGGAUGUAGAUGGCUCUCUUCAUCACAAGAUCAUUGGAACUGGCAUCAAUCAUCUCAUUAUUGAAAAGAGUCAAGUUCAUCAAAAUUGAAGGUCUUAUAAUAUUGAUGCUAUUAUGUACAAUGAUCUCCUGGUCCUGCUCAUUUCAUCUAGCAUCAGUUCAUGUAAGUCUCUCCAGGCCUCUCUGAAGAGAAGACCAUCUUGCUAGCCAAUUCUGAGAGAACAAUAAUAAUCCAUAACAUUCAUAUACCAUAAUUUCUUCAUCCAUGCUUCAACUGCUGGUUAUUCACUCGGUUUUCAGUUUCUUUCCACUACAAAAAGAUCUUUGCAAACAUAUUUGCACAUGUGGUUGCAUUUCACUCCUUUAAGAUCUCUAUCUGGGGGGUGGAGCCAAGAUGGCAAAGGCACACACGACUUUCUAAGUUGCUCUCAUAACCUCAUGACCACUUAUUAAAUUCAGCUUCAAAAUUAGUGCUUGACCACUUAAACCCAUGAAGAUUAGAAGUACAACAACUCAACUAUAUAUAUAUAGCAGUGCUAUACAAGGUACACACAGUGUAUCCUAGAUACAAUAUAUAUGUGCAGAACCGAAAACUUCUCUUGUUGCACAGGAAGAAUUGGAUUCGAAGGUAAAAAUAACCUGGGAAGAAAGACAAAAAUGCAAGCAGUUUAUAUUCAUUUCCCAGUGUUCUUUCUUUGGGUGUAGCUGUUUCUGUCCAUCCUUGAUCAAUUGAAACUGAGUUAGAUCUCUGUGUCGAAGAAAUCCACUUCCAUCGGAAUACAUCCUCAUACAAUAUUGUUGUUGAGGUAUAUAAUGAUCUCCUGGUUCUGCUCAUUUCACUUAGCAUCAGUUCAUAUAAGUCUCUCCAAUCCUCUCUGUAUUCAUCCUGCUGGUCAUUUCUUACAGAACAAUAAUAUUCCAUAACAUUCAUAUACCACAAUUUACUCAACCAUUCUCCAAUUGAUGGGCAUCCAUUCAUUUUCCAACUUCUAGCCACUGCAAACAGGGCUGCCACAAACAUUUUGGCACAUACAGGUCCCUUUCCAUUUUUUAGUAUCUCUUUGGGAUAUAAGCCCAGUAGUAACACUGCUGGAUCAAAGAAUAUGCACAGUUUGAUAACUUUUUGAGCAUAGUUCCUAAUUGCUCUCCAGAAUGGUUGGAUGUAUUCACAAUUCCACCAAUAAUGUAUCAGUGUCCUUGUUUCCCCACAUCCCCUCCAACAUUAUGCAUUAUCUUUCCCUUUCAUUCUAGUCAAUCUGACAGGUGUGUAGUGGAAUCUCAGAGUUGUCUUAAUUUGCAUUUCUCUGAUUAAAAAUUAUUUGAAGCAUAUUUUCACAUGGCUAGAAAUAGUUUCAAUUUCCUUGUCUGAGAAUUGUCUGUUCAUGUCCUUUGACAUAAAAGGAAUUUGGUAGGAUUCCUUCAUUCCCUAUUUUUUCAAAUAGUUUAUAAAGCAUUGGGGCUAAUUGUUCUUUGAAUGUUUGGUAGAAUUCACAUGUAUAUCCAUCUGGUCCUGGGGAUUUUUUUUUUAGAGAGUUGAUUAAUAGCUUGCACGUCUUUUUUCUGAAAUGAGACUAUUUAAGCAAUUUACUUCCUCCUCUGUUAAUCUGGGCAUCCUAUGUUUUUGGAUAUUGUCAUCCAUUUCGCUUAAGUUAUCAAAUUUAUUGGCAUAAAGUUGAGCAAAAUAAUACCUUAUUAUUUCUUUAAUUUCCUCUUCAGAGGUAGAAAGUUCUCCCUUUUCAUUUUUAAGCCUGAUAAUUUGAUUUUCCUCUCUCCUUUUUCUAAUCAGAUUUACCAAAGGUUUAUCAAUUUUAUUGGCUUUUUCAUAAAACCAAAUAUUAGGUUUAUUUAUUAAUUCAAUACUUUUUAUUUUCAAUAUUAUUAAUUUCUCCUUUUAAUUUUAGAAUUUCAAGUUUAGUAAUUGAUUGGCAGUUUUUUAAUUUGGUGUUUUUUUAGCUUUUUAAGUUGCAAGCCCAAUUCGAUGAUUUUGUCUUUCUCUAUUUUAUUCAAAGAAGUCUUUAAGGAUAUAAAAUUUCCCCUUAUUGCCACUUUGGCUGCAUCCCACAAAUUUUGGUAGGAUGUCUCACCGUUGUCAUUAUCUUGAGUGAAAUUAUUAAUUGUGUCUAUGAUUUGCUGUUUCACCCAAUCAUUCUUUAAGAUGAGAUUAUUUAGUUUCCAAUUACUUUUUGGUCUAUUUACACCUAACUUUUGUUGAAUGUAGUUUUUAUUGCAUUGUGAUCUGAAAAGAAAGCAUUUACUAUUUCUGCCUUCCUGCAUUUAAUUUUGAGCUCUUUAUGUCCUAAUAUAUGGUCAAUUUUUGUGUAGGUUUCAUAAAUUGCUGAGAAGCAAGUAUAUUUCUUUCUGACACCAUUCAGUUUUCUCCAGAGAUCUAUCCUACCUAUUUUUUUUAAUAUUCUAUUGACCUUUUAAAUUUCUUUCUUAUUUGUAUUUUGAUUUGAUUUAUCUAAAUCUGAGAGUGCAAGAUUGAGAUCUCCCACUAUUAUAGUUUUGCUGUGUAUUUCUUCUUGCAACUAUCUUAACUUCUCCUUUAGGAAGUUAUAUGCUAUACCACUUGGUGCAUAUAUGUUUAAUAUUGAUAUUGCUUCAUUGUCUAUCGUACGCUUUAGCAAGAUAUAAUUUCCUUCCUUAUUUCUUUUAAUUAGAUCAAUUUUUGCUGUUGCUUGAUCUGAGAUCAAGAUGGCUACUCCUGCUUUUUUUACUUCACCUGAAGCAUAAUAGAUUCUGCUCCAGCCUUUUACCUUUACUCUGUAUGUAUCUCCCUGUUUUAAAAUUGUUUCCUGUAAACAACAUAUUGUAGGGUUCUGACUUUGAUCCAGUCUGCUAUCCACCUCCUCUUUGUGGGAGAGUUCAUCCCUUUCACAUUUACGCUUAAAAUUACUAAUUCUGUAUUUCCUGCCAUCCUAAUAUCCCCUGAUUAUCCUUUUCUUUUCCUUGCCCUCCUUCCCCCUUUCCUAGUAUUAAAUAAUUGAUCCCACUUGCAGCCCACAGCUCUUCCUCUUUAGGAUUCCUCCUUCCUCCCUUUGAAUCCCUUCACCUUUCUUGUACCCUUCCAUUAUUUCUCUUUUUCCUUUUUCCCUUUUCCUCUCCCACUUUUUAAUGUCAAUUAUUUCCUCUUUGAGCCAACUCUGAUGAGAGUAGGAUUCACACAAUGUUCCUCUCCCUCUCUAACUUCCCUCAUAUAUGAUAGGUUUCCUUUCCCUCAUCAUCACAUGUAGUUUCCCUCUUUUUUUCUCCCCUUUUCCCUCUUUCUGACACUAUCCCCUUUCCAUUUCUACUUCCCUUUUUUAUACUAUAUCAGUAAAAUCAAAUUAUACAUGUAGUUUUUAUGUAUAUCCACAACAGAAAUACAGUUCUCAAGAGUUCCUUUUACCUGUUUCUAUUUCUCUUGAGUCCUGUUGUUGGAGAUCAAAUUUUGUUUUAAUUUACAUCCAGUUUUUUCCUUAGAAACAGAUGAAAUUCCUCUGUUUCAUUAAAUUUCCAUCUUCUUCCAUGGAAAAAAAUGCUCAGCUUAGCUGAGUAGUUUAUUCUUGGCUGCAUUCCAAAUUCUUUUGCCUUUCAGAAUAUUAAAUUCCAGUCCCUUCGAUUCUUUAAUGUUGAGGCAACCAGGUCUUCUGUGACCCUUAUUGUGGCACCUCAGUAUCUGAAUUGUUUUUUCCUGGCUGAUUGUAAUAUUUUUCUUUAGUCUGAAAUUCUGAAAUCUGGCCACAAUAUUCCUUGGAGUCUUUAUUUUAGCGUCUUUUUCAGAAGGUGUUCAAUGGAUUCUUUCAACAUCUCUUUUACCUUCCGGUUCUAUUACUUCUGGUCAGUUCUCUUUAAUGAUUUCUUAUAAAAUAGUAUUUAGGCUGUUUUUUUCAUCAUAGUUUUUGGGUAGUCUGAUGAUCCUUAGGUUAUCUCUCCUAGAUCUAUUUUCUAGGUCUGUUGUUUUUCCAUGUAAACAUUUGAUAUUUUUUUCCAAUCUUUCAUUUUUUUGGUUUUGCUUGACUGAUUCUUGAUGUCUUAAUGAAUCAGUCAUUUCUAUUUGUUCAGUUCUUAUUUUCAGUGAGUUAUUUUCUUCAUUAGCCUUUUUCCUUCUUUUUGUAUAUGUCCAAUUGAGUUUUUAAAUGAGUUGUUUUGCUCUAUGGAAUUUUUUUCUAUUUCACUAUUUUUUUUAGUGAGUUAUUUUCUUUUUCCAAUUCACAAAUCCUACUUUCUUGUGAAUUCUUAACCUUUUCCAAUUCAUAAAUUCUAUUUCCCUGCACUUCUUGGGAGUUUUUUACCAUUUCCAAUUCAUAUUUCAGGAAGUUGUGGCUCUCUUACAUAGCUUCUCUUUCCCUUCCCCAUUUUUCUUCUAGUUUUCUUUUAAGGUUUUUAAUUGUCUCUUCUAAGAGAGCCUUUUGUAUUGGGGACCAACAAUUGUCUGGAGAGUGUCUGCUAUUAGUCUCUUCAGGAUUGAAAAGCUGCUCUCUUUCUGUAUAGAAACUAUCAAUGGUCCUUUUGAUUUUUUUACUCAUUUUUUAAAGCCUGUAGGGUCUGCCUUCAGAGCCAGGAGGUCACCAGCUUCCUCUGCAGAGCAGUGAUAGGUAUAUGGACAGGUAGCUGUCCUGCCAGCCGGCUACAAAAAGCAGUGAGGUCCUGGAGUGUUCUUGGAAAGAGUUCCCCACCCAGAAGUAACUCAAGACUGCAGGAGUGAUCUGGGAAAGUGCCCUGCAAAGAACUCCUGCUGUGUGGGAUAACGACUGCCCUGGGGCUAGAUGCUGAGCAGUGAGAAUUUCACUACCCCAAUCCAAAGCCUGCCAUGGGGCUGUGGGUAUUAGCAUCUGAGCAGUGAAUGGCCCUGCAGGGAUUGGAUGUGCCUCUGCCCCAGGAAGUAUAGUCUGCUGGGGAAGUGCUAUUGCCACAGGCCGAGCCCCCCACUCUGCAUAUUAGAGGCUGCCCAAGCAGUGUUCCCUUGCCAUGCAGAUUUGUAACUGCCCUUGCAAAAGCCCUGAACUGCAGGAUGUGGCUGCAGGGCCGUGUUACGGGUCUGCCUGAGCCACUUCUGGGGUUGAGUGGUUACAGCCAGAUCUUGUUAGGUUCUGGUGUUUUUUAGAGUACCCUCUGUUUUAGGCUUUAAUUUCCCUGCCGGUUUACUGCUUUGUAAUCAAGGCAGAGCAGUUAGCCUAUAGCAGAGUAGUCUCUAUAACUUCUCUAGACACAGAGAUCACUCCUACCCCUGGUCUGCUCAGGACACUAGUCUCUUGCUGCCUGUUUCCUGUUUCCUGGCCCCUCAGGACAAACCUUUCCUGGCUAUCUUCCAGAUUAUCUUCAGCUAGUAAAUUGUAGUGCUUCUAAUCUUCAUGAAUUUAAGUAGUGAAGAGCUAUUUUUGAGGCUGAAUUUAAUGGUUGGUUAUGAGGGGAAUGAGAGGAGCUUAGAAAAUUGCAUGUGCCUUCUCUUCCAUCUUGGCUCUGCCCCCGUAUUCCUUGUUGAUAUUAAAAAAGAAACUUUUAUAUCUGAAUCCCCUAUGCCUGGAGUGCUGUCAUUUCUCAACGUUGCUGCCUAGUUUCUUUCUAGUCCCUGCUAAAAUCCCACCUUCAACAGGAAGCCUUUGCUGAUCUUUCUCAUGACUAUAUCCAAUUUAUCCUAGAUGUCACUGGUUUGACUGUAUUUUAUUGAUAUGGUGUUUAUUUUAUAUCAAAUUGUGAGCUCCUUGAAGGCAGGAGCUUUCUUUUUAUCACCAUUAUUUAGCAUAGUGCCAUGUACUUGGAAGAUGCUUAAUAAAUAUUUAUUAACUUUAUCUCUGUGUUUCUGUCUCUAUCUCUCUCUUCCUCCUGUUACUCUUUUUUCUUCUCUCUACUUCCUCUUACUUUUUUGCUCUCUCCUCUUUUUUGUUUCUCAAUAAUAUAGUUAUUCUUGAUGAAGAAACAACUUCUAUUAAUGCCAAUUACCUUUUUUUUUUUUUUUUUGGUUGCAAUUUAUGGCUUUAAAAAGUUCCCCAAAGCACUGAGAGGUUAGGUGACUUUUGCUGAGGCUCAUAGGAUUUUGUAUUAGGGGUAAGAUGAGAUAAUUUAUAGCAAACAAAAUCAAUUGUAUCUACAAUAGCCAAUUGUGUCUACAAAACCCAAUAGCAUUUAUCAUCUCAAUCAGGAAGAUAGCCAGGAAACUCCAUGAAGGGAAAACUUAACUGUCUCCCAGAUCACAAAGAGUCUACAUGAUUUAUAUGUAGUCAAAUUUGAACUCAGGACAAUAUGAUUUUUGAAAGUAGAGCUUAAAAAAGAACUUGAUGCUAAUCUCUCUAACCUGUUCAUUUUACUGAGAUUAACUGACAUGUCUAGACUCUCAAAAAUAACAAUAAUUCAGACAUUAUGUCAGACAUGAUUCCAACCCAGAUAAUGACUCCAAAUCCAGUACUCUCCACUAUACCAUGCUGUCAUUCAUGAUUAUUAUGUUAAAUGAUGUGUUCAAGGCAAUAAUGAAUAAGGGGCCUAUCCACAGCUAUAACUACACUUAUUUGGUUUGUAUGUGUGUUUUUGUGUGUAUGUUGGCUAAUGGAUUUUACUACUCUGAUUUACUGCAGACUCAUAAACUCUCUAGAUUCAAUAACUCAUAAGCAGUUUUGAUCUUAAAAUAAAACAUUUUUCUUCUACUUUAUGCAACAUUACAUUUUAUAAUUCUGUAAAUAUAAAAAAAGCAAAUUUUAUAUUAAAACAAAAACAAAUGGUAGGAUUUAGGAGAAAAAUUUAAAUUUAAAAGUAUCACAUGAUCAUCACAAUAACUGCUACCACAUCAUUCACAUUAAUGUUUGAAUUUUUAAAUAUAACUGAAAAAAUUGGAAAUUAAAAUAGUAGAUGACACCAUGUAAUUCUUUCCUGACACUCAUAUAUUUAUGAUAUGUAAGAAAACAACUCCCUGCAGGCAUUCAUGGCUUUGAAUUCUGAUCACAAGUCAUAAAUUAUAAGACAAAAUUUCCUUUACAAAUACUAGUUUUUCAUUUUCCUUUAUUCCUUCUUGUGGGUAAAGCAUUAUAACCCAGACUGUAAAAAAUAAAUUCAUUAAAGGCUGUAUUAGCAUACUUAUUUUUAUAUACUUUGCUCCACAAACUCAUUUUUAUCUAUCCAAGUAUACAUUAUAAAACAAUGUUUACUUCCCCAUUAACCUUGUAGAGUAAAAAAAAAAGUACCUUGAACAAACUUUUAUUUAUUUAUUUAUUUAUUUAAUAGCCUUUUAUUUACAGGAUAUAUGCAUGGGUAACUUUACAGCAUUAACAAUUGCCAAACAUCUUGUUCCAAUUUUUUACCUCUUACCCCCCCACCCCCUCCCCUAGAUGGCAGGAUGACCAGUAGAUGUUAAAUAUAUUAAAAUAUAAAUUAGAUACACAAUAAGUAUACAUGACCAAAACGUUAUUUUGCUGUAGAAAAAGAAUCAGACUCUGAAAUAUUGAACAAUUAGCUUGUGAAGGAAAUCAAAAAUGCAGGUGUGCAUAAAUAUAGGGAAUGGGAAUUCAAUGUAAUGGUUUU